rnacentral:piRNA from 1 species
UGCAAUUAAAACAGGUUUGGGCAAGGGU